rnacentral:rRNA from 2 species
ACGGGUGAGUAACACGUGGGAACGUACCUUUAGGUUCGGAACAACACAGGGAAACUUGUGCUAAUACCGAAUGUGCCCUUCGGGGGAAAGAUUUAUCGCCUUUAGAGCGGCCCGCGUUAGAUUAGCUAGUUGGUGAGGUAAAGGCUCACCAAGGCUACGAUCUAUAGCUGGUCUGAGAGGAUGAUCAGCCACAUUGGGACUGAGACACGGCCCAAACUCCUACGGGAGGCAGCAGUGGGGAAUCUUGCGCAAUGGUCGAAAGACUGACGCAGCCAUGCCGCGUGAAUGAUGAAGGUCUUAGGAUUGUAAAAUUCUUUCAGCAGGGACGAUAAUGACGGUACCUGCAGAAGAAGCCCCGGCUAACUUCGUGCCAGCAGCCGCGGUAAUACGAAGGGGGCUAGCGUUGCUCGGAAUUACUGGGCGUAAAGGGAGCGUAGGCGGGUUAUCAAGUUGGAGGUGAAAGCCCAGGGCUCAACCUUGGAAUUGCCUUCAAAACUGAUAGCCUAGAGUAUGAUAGAGGUAAGUGGAACUCCGAGUGUAGAGGUGAAAUUCGUAGA